rnacentral:rRNA from 1 species
GAAAACGACUGCUAAGACUGGAUAGGAGACAAGAAAGCAUCUUCUUGUUUUUAAAAGACCUAGCAAUAGGUAUGCUUAGGGAGGAGCUUGCGUCACAUUAGUUAGUUGGUGGGGUAAAGGCCUACCAAGACUAUGAUGCGUAGCCGGGCUGAGAGGUUGAACGGCCACAUUGGGACUGAGACACGGCCCAAACUCCUACGGGAGGCAGCAGUAGGGAAUUUUCGGCAAUGGAGGAAACUCUGACCGAGCAACGCCGCGUGAACGAUGAAGUAUUUCGGUACGUAAAGUUCUUUUAUUAGGGAAGAAUAAAUGAUGGAAAAAUCAUUCUGACGGUACCUAAUGAAUAAGCCCCGGCUAACUAUGUGCCAGCAGCCGCGGUAAUACAUAGGGGGCAAGCGUUAUCCGGAAUUAUUGGGCGUAAAGGGUGCGUAGGCGGUUAAAUAAGUUUAUGGUCUAAGUGCAAUGCUCAACAUUGUGAUGCUAUAAAAACUGUUUAGCUAGAGUAAGAUAGAGGCAAGUGGAAUUCCAUGUGUAGUGGUAAAAUGCGUAAAUAUAUGGAGGAACACCAGUAGCGAAGGCGGCUUGCUGGGUCUUUACUGACGCUGAGGCACGAAAGCGUGGGGAGCAAACAGGAUUAGAUACCCUGGUAGUCCACGCCGUAAACGAUGAGUACUAAACGUUGGAUAAAACCAGUGUUGAAGUUAACACAUUAAGUACUCCGCCUGAGUAGUACGUACGCAAGUAUGAAACUUAAAGGAAUUGACGGGACUCCGCACAAGCGGUGGAUCAUGUUGUUUAAUUCGAAGGUACCCGAAAAACCUCACCAGGUCUUGACAUGCUUCUGCAAAACUGUAGAAACACAGUGGAGGUUAUCAGUUGCACAGGUGGUGCAUGGUUGUCGUCAGCUCGUGUCGUGAGAUGUUGGGUUAAGUCCCGCAACGAGCGCAACCCUUAUUGUUAGUUACCAGCACGUAAUGGUGGGGACUUUAGCAAGACUGCCGGUGAUAAAUUGGAGGAAGGUGGGGACGACGUCAAAUCAUCAUGCCCCUUAUGACCUGGGCUACAAACGUGAUACAAUGGCUGUUACAAAGGGUAGCUGAAACGCAAGUUUUUGGCGAAUCUCAAAAAAACAGUCUCAGUUCGGAUUGAAGUCUGCAACUCGACUUCAUGAAGUUGGAAUCGCUAGUAAUCGCGAAUCAGCAUGUCGCGGUGAAUACGUUCUCGGGGUUUGUACACACCGCCCGUCAA